AACGUAGGGUGCAAGCGUUGUCCGGAAUUACUGGGUGUAAAGGGAGCGCAGGCGGACCGGCAAGUUGGAAGUGAAAACUAUGGGCUCAACCCAUAAAUUGCUUUCAAAACUGUUGGCCUUGAGUAGUGCAGAGGUAGGUGGAAUUCCCGGUGUAGCGGUGGAAUGCGUAGAUAUCGGGAGGAACACCAGUGGCGAAGGCGACCUACUGGGCACCAACUGACGCUGAGGCUCGAAAGCAUGGGUAGCAAACAGG
rnacentral:rRNA from 1 species